rnacentral:rRNA from 1 species
GACGAACGCUGGCGGCGUGCCUAAUACAUGCAAGUUGAGCGAUGAAGAUUGGUGCUGGCACCAAUUUGAAGAGCAGCGAACGGGUGAGUAACGCGUGGGGAAUCUGCCUUUGAGCGGGGGACAACAUUUGGAAACGAAUGCUAAUACCGCAUAACAACUUUAAACAUAAGUUUUAAGUUUGAAAGAUGCAAUUGCAUCACUCAAAGAUGAUCCCGCGUUGUAUUAGCUAGUUGGUGAGGUAAAGGCUCACCAAGGCGAUGAUACAUAGCCGACCUGAGAGGGUGAUCGGCCACAUUGGGACUGAGACACGGCCCAAACUCCUACGGGAGGCAGCAGUAGGGAAUCUUCGGCAAUGGACGAAAGUCUGACCGAGCAACGCCGCGUGAGUGAAGAAGGUUUUCGGAUCGUAAAACUCUGUUGGUAGAGAAGAACGUUGGUGAGAGUGGAAAGCUCAUCAAGUGACGGUAACUACCCAGAAAGGGACGGCUAACUACGU